rnacentral:tRNA from 1 species
GCCGCGGUGGCGGAAUCGGCAGACGCAGCAGACUCAAAAUCUGCCGUACGUAAGUACGUGGGGGUUCAAGUCCCUUCCGCGGCACCA